rnacentral:lncRNA from 10 species
UUCAUGGAGCACAGAUCCAGAGUGGAGGAGAGUCAGACCAUGAGUGAGGAAAACAAGCUCAUGAACAAAAUGAGAUAAGUGUCACUGGGACAACAGAACAAAAACAGAUAAAGAACAGAAGCGUACCUGGGAGAGCUGGCUGAAACCAGGACACGGUGGGACCAUUGGAAAGGACUCUAAACCACAGCAGCAGAAGGAGAGCUAGACUUGCAGGGACCCAGGCUCCACACUAGGGACCUCGACCUUGUCCUGCAGGGAGUGGAGACCCAUGAAUGGAUGUUAGCCCACAGUGCCUUGCAUACAGGAGAUCAUCAUUCUUCUGGUCCUAUGCCAUGUGAUUGUUACUGAGGAGGAUGGAGAUGACAUCAUCUACCACGCCUCCUCCCCAGAUGAAGCUGCUUUGGUGGAAGGUGCUAAAAAGCUGGGCUUUGUAC